rnacentral:lncRNA from 1 species
AUGUCUCCGGGAAAAUCUCCACGCCUCCACCCACACAGCAGGAUAGUACUGGUGGUUGCUCUCCUCUGUUCAAGAGGUUGCCAAAAAUGUGGAGUGCAAACAUUUUGGGAUAAAAGGUGCAACAGAAAUGUAAUAGACCAUGUAAUUUCUCAAACAGGAGCUUCUGAACUUUUCCCUAAAAACAUGCCCAGAACAUCUUCCAUGGGAGUAGACACACUCUAACAAAUGGCCUUGACUUCAAGCUGCAGAUAAGCUACAGUUCUAAUGUCAUAUGCAGUACAGAAAGUAGCUAUUGCUGCAUUCACAGAACCUAGUUUUGUAGAUAGAUAACUUGCUUUAUUUUCCCUUAACUCUACCAUGGAGCUCCAGGUAAUGCAUGCAGCCCACAAAAUCAAUACACCCUAUUACAAUGCUUGCCUGCUCACUAAAACAUGAACACACAGCUUCAUUCCUAUACUUCAGACGUGUUCUACAUUUAGGAGCCGAAACUGCCAGCAGAAUAAGAACUGAGGAGCAGAAAAUCGUUUGAUCAGUUUUGAGUUCAAGGAGAUGUCACAGCAUACACAGCUUCCAAACUGGAUUACUGUGACACUGACAGUUUCAGAAAUACCCUUCUUUUUCUGUUCACAUGUACAGCAUAACUGGAAGUCAGUCAGUUUCUAUAUAUGUGAUUUUGGACUCGCCUGACAUUCUCAGUCUAUCAAAGAUCUUAUGCCAUAUUUAAGUUCCCUUAAAAAUCACACUGUAUGUGUGCUAAAGCAGUUUUGAAUUGAAUCCCAAUGUAUAUUUUGUAAACUGUUUGAUUGUUUUCUGGAAAUGCAGCAACCUCAGCAAUGAAUGCUGCCGGUGUGCCAAGUACUGAGAGUUACAGAGCAAUUACAAGAGCUAUGAAAAUUUUAAAAUGCUUUUUUGAAGUUCCUAUACUAAUACCUCUCCUUUUACAUGCAACCUAAAAGAGGGCAGAUAAAUCUUUAGUAUUUUCCCUUCUGCAUCUGUUGAAAAACAAAUAUAAAGUUCACUUUUAACAACAAGUCUACUACAAUGGGCUUAGCAGCAGGAGAUGAAGACUGGUAGCUGUUUUAUUUAUAUGCUGUGUAAAUUAAAAUAAAAUAAAAACUAUUUUACA